CAGCAGCUAUGACUGUAAAUGGCUGGAAACAACUCCACUAAACAUAAGUUGCAUAUGUCUGUAAUAUUCAGAGCUCUUAUAAAUGGACUGUGUCAUUAUGGCUGGCAUGCAAUAAUGUAACAGAGGCACACCUUGGUGUCAUACGUGACAUAACAGGCCGCAUAUUCACCAGCGCUUUGGAUCCCUGUACAGCUGACCAGCAACAAAGUCCACAGUCCUUGAAAUGUCUUAUCACCAUGUGAAAGGGUUGGCCCAUUCCUGCUGCUCUCCUGAAGCGAAGAUAGCGUAAAAGAUGACCCCUGAGUAAUGCACCAUGGCUGC